UCCCUCUUAGCUCAGUUGGUAGAGCGCGUCACUAGUAAAUUCGAAAUGACGAGGUCAGUCGUUCAAAUCGGCUAGAGGGAA
rfam:Plicaturopsis crispa FD-325 SS-3 unplaced genomic scaffold PLICRscaffold_3, whole genome shotgun sequence.